rnacentral:rRNA from 1 species
UACGUAGGGGGCAAGCGUUGUCCGGAAUCAUUGGGCGUAAAGCGCGUGUAGGCGGCCAGGUAAGUCCGUUCUGAAAGCCCGGGGCUCAACCCCGGGAGGCGGAUGGAUACUGCUUGGCUCGAGUCCGGAAGAGGCGAGUGGAAUUCCCGGUGUAGCGGUGAAAUGCGCAGAUAUCGGGAGGAACAUCAAUGGCGAAGGCAGCUCGCUGGGACGGUACUGACGCUGAGGAGCGAAAGCGUGGGGAGCGAACAGG